rnacentral:tRNA from 1 species
GGCGCCAUGGCAUUGUGGUAAAGCGCCUGUCUUGUAAACAGGAGAUCCUGGGUUCGAUCCGCAGUGGUGCCU